GGCCUGGGCCUGGCCUGGGAAGGGGGCGGCCCCCAGCCCCGCUGCGCGCCCUUACCGUGCGUGUCCGCGUGGCCUGCAGGGAGGACACACCCGGCAGGACCCUGGGGCUCAGCGGGGGUGGGAGGCGCAGCAGGGGCAGGGGAGUGGGACAGGAGGGUCAGUGUUGAGCAUGGAUUUUACCUCCCUAGCUAUUUCUUGGGCGCCUUGAGCAGCGUGCGCAGUAAGCCAGCAGGUUAGAGGGCAGGGCGAGGACCAGGAGAGGGAGCUGGCUGCAGAGCCUUUGUUCUGAGUGGUGUCUCAGUCCCGCGGGUGUCUCGGCCUGUGCGUGGCAGAGUUGGUCCGUGGGCGUAGGACCACAGCUGUAGAGUGACCUCGUUGCCAUUCUUCCGCCUCCCGGAGGAAAAGCUACUUCCGUUUUGAACAUUAGAGGUGUGGAACAAAAGAUGGGAGAAGUUGCGUCCUGGCUUCCGGAGCCGGGCGCCUCGGCAUCUCGGCGGAUGCGUGGUCAGAGCCGCGGCUGGAAGGCGCAGUGCGGGACUGCUUCAAAGCACUGGUCUGUGCUGGCGCGGGCCAGCCGGCCCCCAGGGUGUGGCCCGUGAGGUCAGCACACUCAAGCACUUUUGUUCUGCCCAGAUGGGUAUAUGCUGUAGUAAGUGUGAAAGCAAGCAUGGUUUGCGCAGUCCGACUCCGUAACAACUCCACCCAGCCAGCCGGCCUGAGCAGAGCGGACCCUCCCAGCGCUUGGUGGAGUGAGCAGCGACACAGACCUGACCCAAACCGGGGGGCUCCCGGGCAGGGUCUCGGUGGCAGCAGGCGGGGGCUGGGGGCUCAGCUGUGUUCACAGAACCGAGAGAACUCCAGACUUUUCUGAUAAGGCAGAUCCUCAGACGUGGGGUUUGUGUAUGAGAUAAGGCCCUUCUCAGACGAGGGAGAAUUUUGAACUGCGAGAGAUAAGUUUAUUUAGAGGCCCGAUUUAGCUGAUUUGUUGGAUUUCCCACAGUGUGAAAUUCCUGCCAGCCUAUGGGAUUAACCUCCCUGGAAUCCAAACCGCAGCUCUCUGCUCCCAGCCGGCUGAACAAAGAUGAGGGAUGGUGUGGUCGCCGUUUCUCCCAAGGCUGUGGGUGCCCGGGUGAAUGUCCUCCCAGAUCACCAGGCUGUGUCUGCUGUGGCAGACCCACAGCUCAAAAAAAAAAAAAAAAAAAAGAAAGGAAGAAAGGCACACCAGCCCUGGCUCCUGGCAAACUCACCGGCACACCGUGAGCAGAGGUGCCACGAGGCUGAGUGUGCCGUCUUAGCCGGCUCGCAGGGACACUGUGCUCUGUCCCCUCAGGGAGGGGACGUUUGGAAACUCAGAACCAGUGCUCACCUUCGGCUCACCCACACAGCCAGAAACGCGUGUAAGGCUCGGAGGCUGCACGCGUCCUCUGGGGGCGGCGUUUGUAGUGAGGCUGGCGCUGCGUUCCUUUGAAGAUGGGGUGGAAAGUGCACUCCCCCACACGGAGCGCUGGCCCUGUAGUGGCGUGGGGGCAGGAUAAUUUGGGGUUACGAGGGCGGUGUUUGGGAGCUGGAUCAGUGGCACUGGAGACACAGCAGUCGGUGCCGCAUGGUCGUCCAUGGUAGAAUCAGGAGGGGGAUUCGACGCAGACGCCAAUUGAAAAGUUCAGGGCGGGGUCCCCGUGUGUGUGUGGGGGGGGGGGUGGGGGGCAGGUGCAGCAGUACCUCCCUGCCGCUGAAGGUUUGUUGUCUGGAAAGCUGUCACCGAAGCCACUGUGCUUUAAAGCUGCCUUUUUAAACAUUCAUUUUAUGUGGCUUUUUUUCUGCUAGGAUCGCAGACCAGUGUACACCGUAAAAUAUGCAAUUGUAGUUUUCCACCACGGUGAGACUUCGUUCCACCGUAGUCUCUGUGUGCGUGAAACGGCAUAGAUAAGAAUCGUCUGGAUUUCAGUUUUGUUUGACAGUCGGACUGUCAGUUUCCAGAAACAAUGACAUCACGAUUCCUGUUUAGAAGUAUUGGCUUUUGAAGUCUAAGAGAGUUUGUGUGUUUCUAGCAGGUCCUGGGACAAGCUGCCUUGGCUGGCUGGCUCCUGCCUGCGCUGUACGCACAGACAACCAAGGUGCUAAUGAAAACACACACAGGCUUUCAUGAAUGAAAGUCACAUGACCCGUUCCAUUUCCUUUAUUGAAAGAGAAACCUUUACAAAAAUAGUGCGUGGUAGAAGGAAGCGUUGGGCCAGGAUCAGGAAGCAAGGUUUCUGGUUGCUGAUCCUCGUGAGUCAUUGUGGGCCUGGGCGAGCCGCCUGGUGCCUCCCUCUCACUUUCUCUUCCUGUGAAAUGGGAGUAAUUACGAGCCUCCCCUCGCCGUGUCACGCGGAGCUCAUGAGCGUCAAGAGUGUUGCAAGCGCUCCUGCAGGGAGGUGCUGGGAAGUCAGUGACACUGAAACCCUGACUGCGGUCAGGAAAGGGACGUGGGUGUACAGGGUGCUUGCAGGUUCACCCAGCGCCGGAACAGAGCUCAGAGCAUCUGGGAGUGGAGUGGAUGCCUUGCCCGCCCCAUCGUCGGAGCUCCCGGCGCGGUCUCCCACGGCGGCUGCCUUGCUCCCCUCUGCAUUGAAGAUCUGUGCCUGAGCCAUGGCCCGUUGCAAGGGGGUGGCCCUUUAAGUCGUGCAGGAAAACACUGUCCUGAUCCCAAACUGCAUGAUUGAGUACCCUUGAUGAUUUAAGUGCUAAGAGCCGUUGACCAGAUGAGGCUAUCCAAGGGCGCUUCAAAAAGUUGGUGAAAGAUAGAAUUUAUUUUGGUGCAAAAACUUGAAAUCCGUGGUAGUUUCUUCCUAUGCCGCGUUUUCCCGCCAGCUUUCUGAAGCCCUGUUGUGGACGUAGAAUGCACAUUGUUAAAAACCGGCUGCUACUGGAGGCUGAAUUAGAAGAAAUACGGAAGCCGUACGUGUUCCCUUGUUUAUUUGUCCGCUCUCUGAUCUGAGGUCUCCUUGUUCGAGCUGGCUGGAUGAGGCUGUCACUCGGUUUUGAUGGGUAACGCUGCGUUCUCCUUGGUUGUCAGAUCAGGGUGGGGACACAUUUGAUUCCUUGGUUCUCCCACACCCCCCAAAAAGGGAAUUUUAAUUUUAUUUUCUUUGGAACUGUUGGUAUUAAAAUGAGGCUCCCUUUCUGGAGAGCAGAGCUCACCGAGGUUUUAGUAGCAGCCCGGGCAUAAUGGGUUUUCUGUUAAAAUUCCCACUAAUGUGCUUUUCCGCAGAAGCACAGUUCCAAGAGCUGGUUAACUUUUGAUAUCAGAUCUGGCAACUGCACAGGUUUUUUUGUUUUGUUUUCUUGGCGGGAGGGGCGGGGAGAGGGGUGAGGGCAGCGCAGAAUCAAGUGUUCCCAUUUCACCUUGCAAUCAAAGGGACAAUGCAACCUUGCUCAUUUAUCUGUGUUGCCCAGUGGAGUGGGAAAAACACUGAGGGUGCAGAAGACACGGUGCCCUCCCCACACACCCCUGGGGCAGCUCUCACCCAGGUGGGCAGAGGUGGAUUCCCUGAGAACUUCUCUCUGCACACAGAAUGUAUGUUUUCACGCCAGGAGAGCAGGGCGUUGUAGGGGACCAGCCACGCACAGCGAGGGUUCCUGGGUCCUGGAGUCACCUGCCGGGUUUUGUGAACCGCAGCUGUCCCAGGGACACUCUCUCUGUGUUGCGUUCCUUGGGCUGGAGUGUGUUCCCGUCCUCUCAGGUAGAGGGCGGAGGCCAGAGCGCAGGGCGUGUGUCCUUCUCAGAAUGGGUGAAGUCAGAGGUGAUGAGCUGAGCACUUGAUUUCCUUCAUGACAGCGACAGAGACUUAGAUGCACUGAGCCCUAACAUGAUGUGCACAGCAGGAGACUUAUUCUUCACCGGGACCUUGUUCUCUGGGUGUCGGCGAUGCACCAGCCUAGUGUGCUUGGAAGUCUUAGUUCUUAGUUCAGUUCAUUAUAUUAGAAUACGGAAGGAGAUUUGGGUGAAGACCUACUAGCUAUGUGCUUGCACACGAUGGAAACAUCAGUCUAGCUGUGCUGAUGUCUGUUAGACUAGAGAGCUGCUGAAUUUGCCUAAGGUGACUUUUUCUUGACCAGAGACAGUGUAACAUGGGAGCUGGUAAGUGGCUUUAUAUAUUUACACCUGCAAAGAAGAUUUAUCAAGUGUGUCUUGCUUAUUGUACCUUUGCUGAAAUUUGAAAUAUUUGCCCCAAUAUAUUUUUUAAAGACUUAUUCAUUUAUUUUAAAGUCAGAGUUACACACAGAGAGAAGGAGAGGCAGAGAGAGAGAGAGAGAGGUCUUCCAUUCAAUGGUUCACUCCCCAACUGGCCUCAACAGCUGGAGAUGUGCCGAUCUCAAGCCAGGAGCCAGGAGCCUCUUCCGGGUCUCCCACGUGGGUGCAGGGGCCCAAGUCCUUGGGCCAUCUUCUACUGCUUUCCCAGCCCAUAGCAGAGAGCUGGAUCGGAAGUGGAGCAUCUGGGACUUGAACUGGUGCCCAUAUGGGGUGGCGGCUUUACCUGCUAUGCCACAGCGCUGGCCCCGACCCAAUAUUGUGAUCCACAGUAUACGUUAAAGAUAAAUGAUCACAUGCAUUUUAAUCACUGGGUCUUUUAAUUCUUAUUUUAAAGGGUAUCUGGUUUUCCAAAAAUAAAUAUUUGGGGCUGGAGUGUGUGUGUGUGUGUAGUUCCAUAGUAUGUUACCCAUCAUUCUCCGAGAGGUUGAGUGUGGAUUUUUUUAAAAUUGAAACUCAGAUACUAAUGAUUCAGUCUCUAAUCAUGUUAAAACUCUGUCACUUUAAGCAUAAUGACAGACUUCCUGUUACUUGAAUCUCUCCAUGUGGAGUCAGUCCUGGUACUUGAGUGAAGUAUUAUGGUAUAGUAUUAGAUUUCCAUUUUUUAAUGCAUAAAAAUAAGUAUGAUAUCAUUCACUGUAUUAUGUGAUUUUUAAUGGUUAUCUUAAAAGCCGCGUUUAUGUUCAGCAUGACUCAUGCUUUUCAUGGUACUAAUGCUUCACCCUUAAUCCUCAUGACUUCCUCUGUGGCCAUACUCAGCUCACCCUUUGCCUCUGAAGCCUAAGUGUAACUCACAGCCCCAAAACUUGAGGCCAGUGAACACGCUGAAACUGUGGAAGGCGGACGUAGCGAAAUGCAGCUGUGGUCAGUACUGAGAGGCCAUUGCAUGGGUCAGAGGACUCGUGUUGUGCGGAUUACCUCGGAAAUGUCAGGGCAUGGGGACGUUCUCAUAUGAACAACAUCGUGGGGUGCUGCGGAGCAUCUCGGGGUAACCCGGAGCAUCUCGGGGUGACGCAGAGCCAGCUCUAGCUCCCAUUUUCCAGAGCGAAAACCUGUGGCUUGGAAAAGCCGAGUGGCUUACCCAAAUCCCCAAGCCAGGGGGAGCAGGGCUGGGGUCCGCCUCGGACCUCUGCUGGCCCUGCUCUGGGCCCCUCGCUCCCUCUCGCCUCACCUGCCUGUGGGCGGGGCAGCUGGGGCACGGGGGUUUGCCCGGGGUUUGCCUGCAGACCUGCCUCGGGCAGCUGCCAGCCCCCAGUUUGGUUUUCAGUUCCCUCCAGUGAGACUUAAUUGUUUCAUUUCCCUCUUUUGUUCCACUGCAUAUUAUGAGUGCCCCAGCACAUUGAGAGAGUUAAUGAGGAAGACGGGACGUUGUAGGAAAAGCCCUCGUAAUUUUUCCUGUUUUGUUUUUUUUAAGCCGUUUUUGCAUCUACCAGUUUGAAGAGCUUAAGUUCUGUUGUUCUUUGAGGGCUCUGGUUUCGGGGUGUUGCUGGUGCCUUCGCUGAUCCCACAGUAGGAGCUCAUGUGUGUGUGUGUGUGGGGGGUGCCGGGAGGUCCAGCCCAGCUUCCCGGGCCUGGGCUGCUCUACAAGGUGGAAAACUUGGCCUCCUUCCUCCAGCCGCUCCCACGUGUGUCUGAGACAAGCACCGUGGACGCCACCAGAAUCCUUCCCAGCACCAAGUGCAUCAGAGAGCGGUGACCGUCCGAAAGCCAACGCCACGGCAAGGGCAUCUUGAGGGUAAUGCGUUGGCCACCAGUGAUAGAAGGUUGCGUAUUUAUUUUGAGGUUGUGCAAACAGUGGCCUCGGGAGGCCGGGUGUCGUGUUCAAGGUCGUUGAUGUAAUUAGUGGGCGAGCCGUGUGUGAGUACUAUCAGGAAUGCAAUGCAAAGGAUGGCAGAUUGCAUUGGGUUGGUUGUGAGCAGCCUCCUCCCGGGGCCUGUGCCCUCCAGAGCAGCCGCGUGCCCCUGGAAGCCGUGGCAGGAUUUUCUCUUUGAAACACUCCAGUGGACUGCUUCCUGCACAGACUAAAAGGUGCGCUGGGGCCGGAAGUGGAGAGCGCAGGAGCAGGAUCCAGGAAGCUGUAGCCCGGGGGAUGGGCUGAUCAGCACCGCCUGGGCAGUGCUGGCUGCAGUUGACAAAUAGUCGAGUUUGUGAUGGUGUUGGAAAAGAAGAGAAAAGGGACAAUUCUCGGGAGAGUUCCGUUCUGAAGGCUGCGACAUCCGACUGGUCCGGGUGCUCGCUGCUGUGUGCUGGUUCACAUGGUAGCUAAUGGAUCAGGCUGUGAUGCCUGUACACUGUCAGUGAUUUUCAGAUACGUUUAUCCUGCAAGUGAAAUGUCAUACACUCCUCACUCUGAGUGAGUCCGCUAACAAUUUCCCAAGAUAGGAGCCAUUAACCUGUUUAAUGAUGAGUUUGUUUACAAACCAACCCGUGCCAUUGUCACUGUCGCGCACCCGCUGCUGGCUGGAGCCUGCCUCGUGGCACAAACAAAACUGGGAAAUGCCCCGAGUGUUUCAGGGACAGAUGACAGUGGUGGUGUUUCCGCUGAGGUCGAGAAGAGUCAAGGUCAGGAUACCCUGCCCUGCGGUAACGCACAUGUGGCUGAUGCGCGAGGCCGGAUAGGGACUGGAGGCACAAAGCAACUUGUGCCUGAGCCCCCGGGUCUGCGGCAGAUGCCAGGGUCUGACUCAGGGGGCCCCUGCCCUGCCCAGCCCAGCCCUCAGCAGGUGCGUCAGGCUUCGCUCGGGACUCCAGGUGCCUGGAAGGGUGGCUCGGGGGAGCGUAGGGGAUACAAAGUGCAGAGAGAAGGGUUGGAAGGAGACGAAGGUGCCCUUACUAAAUUUAGAAGUGACGCAAGUGCAGAUGGUGCUUUAGGGACUCUGGGUGCUGCCCGGGGUUAAGUGAGGCGCGGGUGAGCUGGCGGCCGCUUUUUGUUGGAAGAGACCAGGGGUGGAAGUGCCAGGGCUGUGCUGCGCUGCGGGUGCACCGGAGCUCUGGAAGGAGGUCCUGGUGUCCGGUUCUGGGACCACACCUCGGGUAGCGCCUCUAGAAUAACCCGCUGCCGUGAGCCGCUUCUCUGGUGUGCUGCAGGCAGGGUGGACUUCAUUUGUUUUACCCUUGUCUUCCGCCGGGAAAGUGACUAAAGUAGCAUUUGCCACAGGAAACAGAUCUGCAGGGUGCCCGUGCGCUCUGCCGGCUACACUUGCAGUUGCAUUUGGGAAGGCUGCUGGGAGGAACUUCUGUUACACUGACUCCUGCGUGUCCAGCCAGUGCAUAUAAUUCAGUUGAAAGCAAGCUUCAAGGAUGCUUUAGCAACACGCAGUAGUCGCGGCAUUGCAAGAUCUUUUUUUUUCCUCCUUUGGAGCCGUAUAAAUCCAGGAGUGUAAAUUCAUUGCAGUCAGUUUCAAAACACUAACUUUAACUGGAUAAGCAAAAAAAAAAAAAAAGACAAUUUUCAUAAUACGAAAGCCACAUGAAAUUGUAAACGUACGUGUGAAGGAGUUUGCAAACAUCCUGGAGAUUUUGUCCUGAUGAGGCUUCGGAAGGGGGAUUUUCUUGUGAGGGGUGUGCGGCUCCUGGCUGCAGGGGCUGGUGGAGACGGGGCUUCCUCCACACAGCCGGCUGCUCGCCGUGCAGGCUGAGGCAGCCGGAGCUCCCAGGGGAACAGCUCUGCAGCGAAACAGCCACAUCUUCCCGGCACAGGCACCCAGAGAAGCCCCCGGGUCCGCGUGGGUGGCGCAGCCGGGUCUCAGCGCACCAUGGCCAGGCGGCUGCUUUUCUUGCCAGCGCGGGGAGGGGUCUGGGAGACACAGGGAAGCGUGGAACAGUCUGCCCCAUCUUUACAGCCCAUGUGCACGGACCCCCACCCCCCAGCAGGUGCCCACCCUUCCUUCGGGACUCGUGGCCGGACACACAGAACGGGUGUCCCAGCCCCUCCCCCACCCACAGCGCAGGAAGUGUUUGGGUCCUGCUGGAGUCAGCUUGCUCUGAGCUCUUGCUGCCCGGUCCUGCUGACAGCCCUGCCUUUGUUAUCGAUCGAGUCUUCCAGAACCUUCCAGCUUGGAAGCUGGCUCGGUUAGCUCUCCUUCCCCUGCUCCCUCCGCGUGUUCCAGCCCCUGAAUUUCUGGGACGGCAGUUCCUUCUCUGGACGCACGGCUUCCUGGCGCACUCACGGGGUCGCCCUGCAGAAGAGCUGAUGGUUAACGCGUGUUUGGUUUUGCUGCCUCUGCAGAACUGUGCCUUGUCAUGAAAGCCUUACUGCUUGGAGUGUAGCUCCGUGUUCCCGUAAGGGAUCCACAAAAUUUCCCAUAAUCAUAGUUCUUUUCAAAAAUCGGAUGCUUCCGAAUUGCUUAACGGUGACUCAUUGCACGAGUAAUUUCCAGACAGGGCAGUGCGUGCUGGCCUCGACGCCACAGCUGUGUGAUGUUGGGGCUGUGGCCUGACCCGUCCCUCUCCCCGGGUGCAACCACCUGUCCAGGGGCCCCUCUUGCCCUCCUGCAUGACGCCCACUGACGCCCCUCCCCCACCCCAUCCCCAGCACGGUGACCCCAGCGCGGCUCCUGCAGCCGGGGCCUGUGGCCGGAGCAGAGGCUGGGCUGGGAGCCGCUGGCACCUUACUGUUCUUCUCAGACGAAGAAGAAAGUGACGAAUGACAUGCAUGGCACUCACGGCCUGGGCAGGGGGAAGGCGGGGAGCAGGAGGAGGUGGGCAGGACAGAGCCGCGCUGGCUCAGAGUUCAAGGUUAGCCAAGCUGGUCGACGUUCACGUUUUGCUCCUUUAAAGGUAAUUGAAGCACUUUCAAGAUAUUUCAAAUACUUUGAUAUGUUUGGGAAAUUUUAGCAUGCAGGCCAGAGAGAAACUGGUUUAGUUACCAAGAGAAAAAGAAGGACAUGCAGGAGUGAAGCUUCAGUAAGUCGCUGACCUUUGAAACCUGGGGGGAGAGGCUCAGUGUUGAAGCAUUGUCAGUGGAGGUGAACGCUCUGCAACGGGAAGCAGGAGGUGAACAGGGAAGACGCCUGCGACUCAGUGAGGAGCCUGAAGUUGUGAGGAAGCAAGAUAAGAUAUUCAGGGAGAGGUGGGCGUGCAGGGGUCCUGGGGUGGACAGGGAGAGGUGGGUGUGCAGAGGAGAGGUCCUGGGGUGGACAGGGAGAGGUGGACGUCCAGAGGUCCUGGGUGGACAGGGAGAGGUGGAUGUCCAGAGGUCCUGGGUCGACAGGGAGAGAUGGACGUGCAGAGGUCCUGGGGUGGACAGGGAGAGGUGGGCGUGCAGGGGUCCUGGGGUGGACAGGGAGAGGUGGGCGUGCAGGGGUCCUGGGGUGGACAGGAAGAGGUGGGCGUGCAGGGGUCCUGGGGUGGACAGGGAGAGAUGGACGUGCAGAGGUCCUGGGGUGGACAGGGAGAGGUGGGCGUGCAGAGGAGAGGUCCUGGGGUGGACAGGGAGAGGUGGGCGUGCAGAGGAGAGGUCCUGGGGUGGACAGGGAGAGGUGGGCCUGCAGGGGUCCUGGGGUGGACAGGGAGAGGUGGGCGUGCAGAGGAGAGGUCCUGGGGUGGACAGGGAGAGGUGGGCGUGCAGGGGUCCUGGGGUGGACAGGGAGAGGUGGGCGUGCAGAGGAGAGGUCCUGGGGUGGACAGGGGAGGGAUGGACCUGCAGAGACCCUGUGAUAUAGUGCCUGUGUCUCUCAGAGCCUGGUUUCACAGGAACCUGCUGUUGGAGGGACUGGGGUGCAGGCGGGAAGCCCGGAGGGCUGCUGCCCCCGUGGUGUGGAAACCGCUGGCACCUGGUCCAGAGUUUGGGUUUGGUUUCCUUAAUUUUCCUGAAACAUAAAAAGAAUGAUGGUUGCACACAGUGCCUUAAGCCUAACUGUUUUGUAAAGAGUUUAUUUUUAUUAGAGAGAGAGAGAGCUUCCAACCUCUGAGUCACUCCCUAAGUGCCUACAACAGCUGGAGCUGGGCUAGGCGGAAGCCGGGAGUCGGGAACCCAAUCCAGGUCUCCCGUGUAGGUGGCAGGGACCCACGUACUUGAGCCAUUGCUGCUGCUUCCCAAGGCGCACGUUAGCAGGGAGCUGGGGCUGGAACCCAGGUGCUCCCAUAUGGGAUGCUGGUGUCCCAGCUGGCACCUGGCCCGUGGUGCCCAAGGCCCACCCCAGCCCGUCCGUUUUGAUAGCAUUACAGUGAGGGUGUCACCCUCCAGUCGCUCGCUUUAACCCUGUUGGUCGUCAUUCGUCCCACGUGGGAACGCGCAGUGGCCUGCUGCUCUGCGGAACAUCGGAGAAGCUACAGCUUGUGGUGCACAGAGCCCCGUUCCGGUGUCGCAGAGUUGGACAAAGCUAUACCUCGGCCGGAGUGACAUCCCGGGGUGGCGUAUCGCUGAGGGACGCUGUCCGGGAGGCCAUUUGCCGAGACCGUGACAGGAGCGUGCGGUCAGUGCUCAGUGUCCGCUCAGGCCUGGCUUCGGUCAUUUGGGUCCCUUGGGAGGCGGCUUGGAAGGGCACGUGGGCGACAGUGACAAGCCUGGGAAGGAAAGCGUGGCGUCCGGGGUGUGGGCAGCGGUCUUGUCACUCAGCACUCACCCCCUCCUUUGCUGCCUUGCACAGUUUGGGAAUUAAGUGUGUAUUUUGGCUGGCGCGUGGCUCAACAGGCUAAUCCUCCUCCUUGCAGUGCAGGCA